rnacentral:rRNA from 1 species
UACGGGGGGGGCAAGCGUUGUUCGGAAUUACUGGGCGUAAAGGGCGCGUAGGCGGCCUUCUAAGUCGGACGUGAAAUCCCUCGGCUUAACCGAGGAACUGCGUCCGAUACUGAAAGGCUUGAAUCCGGGAGAGGGAUGUGGAAUUCCAGGUGUAGCGGUGAAAUGCGUAGAUAUCGGGAGGAACACCAGUGGCGAAGGCGGCUAGCUGGGCCAGUUCUGACGCUGAGGCGCGAAAGCGUGGGGAGCGAACAGG